CUUCAGUCCUACUUUGAGGCUGCCUGCCUGAGGUCUACCAGCUCCGCUUCAGUCCUACUUUGAGGCUGCCUGCCUGAGGUCUCCAGCUUCAGUCCUACUUUGAGGCUGCCUGCCUGAGGUCUCCAGCUUCAGUCCUACUUUGAGGCCGCCUGCCUGAGGUCUACCAGCUCCGCUUCAGUCCUACUUUGAGGCCACCUGCCUGAGGUCUCCAGCUUCAGUCCUACUUUGAGGCUGCCUGCCUGAGGUCUCCAGCUUCGGACUUACUUUGAGGCUGCCUGCCUGAGGUCUACCAGCUCCGCUUCAGUCCUACUUUGAGGCCGCCUGCCUGAGGUCUACCAGCUCCGCUUCAGUCCUACUUUGAGGCCGCCUGCCUGAGGUCUCCAGCUUCAGUCCUACUUUGAGGCCGCCUGCCUGAGGUCUCCAGCUUCAGUCCUACUUUGAGGCCGCCUGCCUGAGGUCUCCAGCUUCUGUCCUACUUUGAGGCCGCCUGCCUGAGGUCUACCAGCUCCGCUUCAGUCCUACUUUGAGGCCACCUGCCUGAGGUCUCCAGCUUCGGACUUACUUUGAGGCCGCCUGCCUGAGGUCUACCAGCUCCGCUUCAGUCCUACUUUGAGGCUGCCUGCCUGAGGUCUCCAGCUUCAGUCCUACUUUGAGGCCGCCUGCCUGAGGUCUACCAGCUCCGCUUCAGUCCUACUUUGAGGCCGCCUGCCUGAGGUCUACCAGCUCCGCUUCAGUCCUACUUCCAUUAGCUCAGGAGUUUAUUUUCUACAUACCUUCAUCAGGUGCAGUGAAGCAGAUGUUUAUGCAUAUGUUGAGUUUACAGAAUGAAGAUCAGUUAAUGCGGGUUUAAAUCUUAGAUACAGGAUUUCUUCCAGAAACAGCAGCUGAUUUAGACUGAAACAUAAGUUGCCUGACAGUAUUAGACAUUAGAUUGUUUAGUUUGAGUUGAUCUAAAUCACAGGUGACAGGUGGAGGAGCUGCUGGAAAGAAAAGAAAAAGAACUCUGAGGCGUUCACUGUCACCUACAGUUCACUGCAGCUGAAGCAUCUAACUGGAGUUUCCAUGAACUCACACUGACAGUAAUUCACACGUCUGCAGGCUGAAGGCGUCGAGCUGAACUCACAGCUGCUGUCAUGUGACCAACUGUGUGAAAAUAAAACUCAAGCUGCUGAGCUAACCCUAAAACCUGCUGAAACUGUGUGUAUCUCAGACUCCAGAUCUAGAAUAUGAUUCCUGUUACUGUUUUAUGUCCCAAUGAUGUGACUUACAGUUCCUUAUGGACUACAGAACACUGGGAACACAUUUCAAAAGUAUUUAAUGCUUCACUGAAAUUAUAUCAAACAAAUAUGAAAAAUGCAUUAGAGAAUCAGUCUGAUGAUGUUUACAUGGUUUAUUUACAGCUGUACAGCAGAAAACUCUAGAGACACUUUGAGUGUCCAGCAGAGGGCAGCACAGGGAUUCAGGAGGGUGUAGGAGAACAGAUUUCAGAUAAAUCAGAGACUAUAAGGGUAUCUGAGAGAAUGAGGGGCAUCACAAGGUAUUACAGGGUACAGGAGGGGUUUCAUAAGGUAACAGGGAUAUCAGAGGGUAUCGGAUGGGAUUACAAAGUAAAAUGAUCAUCUUGUUGAGAGUGCUGCAGGCUCACUGUGAAUGACACUUGACUCUGUUGCCCCUUUACAGAUGAUAAUAAAACAAGGAACGGUUAGCUCCGUGGUAUAAGCCCCUGUCACGGUCUGACUAUUUCUGCUUUGUGUUUUCUGA